rnacentral:tRNA from 1 species
GCGGCGGUGGUUUAGUGGUAUAAUUCAGCCCUGCCACGGCUGAGACCCGGGUUCGAAUCCCGGCCGCCGCA